GAUGAACGCUGGCGGCGUGCCUAAUACAUGCAAGUCGAGCGAACAGACGAGGAGCUUGCUCCUCUGACGUUAGCGGCGGACGGGUGAGUAACACGUGGAAACCUACCUAUAAGACUGGGAUAACUUCGGGAAACCGGAGCUAAUACCGGAUAAUAUAUUGAACCGCAUGGUUCAAUAGUGAAAGACGGUUUUGCUGUCACUUAUAGAUGGAUCCGCGCCGCAUUAGCUAGUUGGUAAGGUAACGGCUUACCAAGGCAACGAUGCGUAGCCGACCUGAGAGGGUGAUCGGCCACACUGGAACUGAGACACGGUCCAGACUCCUACGGGAGGCAGCAGUAGGGAAUCUUCCGCAAUGGGCGAAAGCCUGACGGAGCAACGCCGCGUGAGUGAUGAAGGUCUUCGGAUCGUAAAACUCUGUUAUUAGGGAAGAACAAAUGUGUAAGUAACUAUGCACGUCUUGACGGUACCUAAUCAGAAAGCCACGGCUAACUACGUG
rnacentral:rRNA from 1 species